rnacentral:rRNA from 1 species
ACUCCUACGGGAGGCAGCAGUAGGGAAUCUUCCACAAUGGGCGCAAGCCUGAUGGAGCAACACCGCGUGAGUGAAGAAGGGUUUCGGCUCGUAAAGCUCUGUUGUUAAAGAAGAACACGUAUGAGAGUAACUGUUCAUACGUUGACGGUAUUUAACCAGAAAGUCACGGCUAACUACGUGCCAGCAGCCGCGGUAAUACAUAGGUGGCAAGCGUUAUCCGGAUUUAUUGGGCGUAAAGAGAGUGCAGGCGGUUUUCUAAGUCUGAUGUGAAAGCCUUCGGCUUAACCGGAGAAGUGCAUCAGAAACUGGAUAACUUGAGUGCAGAAGAGGGUAGUGGAACUCCGUGUGUAGCGGUGGAAUGCGUAGAUAUAUGGAAGAACACCAGUGGCGAAGGCGGCUACCUGGUCUGCAACUGACGCUGAGACUCGAAAGCAUGGGUAGCGACCAGGAUUAGAUACCCUGGUAGGAUAGCG